GACGAACGCUGGCGGCGUGCCUAAUACAUGCAAGUCGAGCGGAGUAAAUGGAAAGCUUGCUUUUCAUUGACUUAGCGGCGGACGGGUGAGUAACACGUAGGUAACCUGCCUGUAAGACUGGGAUAACUACCGGAAACGGUAGCUAAUACCGGAUAGGUGAGCUUCUCGCAUGAGAAGGUCAAGAAAGACGGAGCAAUCUGUCACUUAUGGAUGGGCCUGCGGCGCAUUAGCUAGUUGGUAGGGUAAAGGCCUACCAAGGCGACGAUGCGUAGCCGACCUGAGAGGGUGAACGGCCACACUGGGACUGAGACACGGCCCAGACUCCUACGGGAGGCAGCAGUAGGGAAUCUUCCGCAAUGGACGAAAGUCUGACGGAGCAACGCCGCGUGAGUGAGGAAGGUUUUCGGAUCGUAAAGCUCUGUUGCCAGGGAAGAACGAAUUAGAGAGUAACUGCUCUAAGAGUGACGGUACCUGAGAAGAAAGCCCCGGCUAACUACGUGCCAGCAGCCGC
rnacentral:rRNA from 1 species